rnacentral:misc_RNA from 2 species
AGCAUAGCAACGAACGAUUAUCCCUAUCAACCUUUCUGAUUAAUAAUACAUCACAGAACGGAGCGGUUUCUCGUUUAACCCUUGAAGACACCGCCCGUUCAGAGGGUAUCUCUCGAACCCGAAAUAACUAAAGCCAACGUGAACUUUUGCGGACCUCUGGUCCGCUUUUUUUUGCGUAAAAAA